rnacentral:rRNA from 1 species
AUUGAACGCUGGCGGCAUGCCUUACACAUGCAAGUCGAACGGUAACGGGCCUUCGGGUGCCGACGAGUGGCGAACGGGUGAGUAAUACAUCGGAACGUGCCCGAUCGUGGGGGAUAACGAGGCGAAAGCUUUGCUAAUACCGCAUACGAUCUACGGCUGAAAGCAGGGGACCGCAAGGCCUUGCGCGGACGGACGGGCCGAUGGCAGAUUAGGUAGUUGGUGGGAUAAAAGCUUACCAAGGCGACGAUCUGUAGCUGGUCUGAGAGGAUGAUCAGCCACACUGGGACUGAGACACGGCCCAGACUCCUACGGGAGGCAGCAGUGGGGAAUUUUGGACAAUGGGCGCAAGCCUGAUCCAGCCAUGCCGCGUGCAGGAUGAAGGCCUUCGGGUUGUAAACUGCUUUUGUACGGAACGAAAAGCCUUCUUUUAAUACAGGAGGGUCAUGACGGUACCGUAAGAAUAAGCACCGGCUAACUACGUG